rnacentral:rRNA from 1 species
AGAGUUUGAUCCUGGCUCAGAACGUACGCUGGCGGCACGCCUAAUACAUGCAAGUCGAACGAAGUAGCAAUACUUAGUGGCAGACGGGUGAGUAACAUGUAGGUAUCUACCCUUUGGUCUGGAAUAACACGAGGAAACUUGUGCUAAUACCGGAUAAGUCUUUACGGAGAAAGCUUUAUGCACCAUUGGAUGAGCCUGCACUUGAUUAGUUUGUUGGUGGGGUAAUGGCCUACCAAGACAAUGAUCAAUAGCUGAUUUGAGAGGAUGAUCAGCCACAUUGGGACUGAGACACGGCCCAAACUCCUACGGGAGGCAGCAGUAGGGAAUCUUGCACAAUGGAGGAAACUCUGAUGCAGCGAUGCCGCGUGAGUGAAGAAGGCCUUUGGGUUGUAAAGCUCUUUCGUCGGGGAAGAAAAUGACUGUACCCGAAUAAGAAGGUCCGGCUAACUUCGUGCCAGCAGCCGCGGUAAUACGAAGGGACCUAGCGUAGUUCGGAAUUACUGGGCUUAAAGAGUUCGUAGGUGGUUAAAAAAGUUGGUGGUGAAAUCCCAGAGCUUAACUCUGGAACUGCCAUCAAAACUUUUUAGCUAGAGUAUGAUAGAGGAAAGCAGAAUUUCUAGUGUAGAGGUGAAAUUCGUAGAUAUUAGAAAGAAUACCGAUUGCGAAGGCAGCUUUCUGGAUCAUUACUGACACUGAGGAACGAAAGCAUGGGUAGCGAAGAGGAUUAGAUACCCUCGUAGUCCAUGCCGUAAACGAUGUGUGUUAGACGUUGGAAAUUUAUUUUCAGUGUCGCAGCGAAAGCGAUAAACACACCGCCUGGGGAGUACGACCGCAAGGUUAAAACUCAAAUGAAUUGACGGGGACCCGCACAAGUAGUGGAGCAUGUGGUUUAAUUCGAAGAUACGCGCAGAACCUUACCAACACUUGACAUGUUCGUCGCGACUCUAAGAGAUUAGAGUUUUCGGUUCGGCCGGACGAAACACAGGUGCUGCAUGGCUGUCGUCAGCUCGUGUCGUGAGAUGUUGGGUUAAGUCCCGCAACGAGCGCAACCCUUACUUUUAGUUGCCAUCAUUUAGUUGGGCACUCUGAAAGAACUGCCGGUGAUAAGCUGGAGGAAGGUGGGGAUGACGUCAAGUCCUCAUGGCCCUUACGUGUUGGGCUACACACGUGCUACAAUGGUAUCUACAACAGGAAGCAAGACGGCAACGUUAAGCAAAUCCCAAAAAGUACCUCAGUUCGGAUUGUACUCUGCAACUCGAGUACAUGAAGCUGGAAUUACUAGUAAUCGUGGAUCAGCGCGCCACGGUGAAUACGUUCCCGGGUCUUGUACACACCGCCCGUCACACCAUGGAAGUUGGUUACACCUUAAGGCAAAGCAUAAAACCUUUGACUACGGUACGAUCAGCGACUGGGGUGAAGUCGUAACAAGGUAACC